UUAAUGUAUUGUUUCUUGUUUCUUCUCAGGCUCAAAUGUCUUGUUAGGUGAUGGUUUGGUGCUUCUCAGUGCUACACUGUAUGCUGUGUCUAAUGUGUGUCAGGAAUAUACAGUAAAGAACCUGAGCAGGGUGGAGUUCCUGGGCAUGAUUGGCCUCUUUGGUACAGUUAUUAGCACUGUGCAAAUGGUGAUCUUGGAACGCAGUGAAGUUAUGAACAUUAGGUGGAGCUGGGAAGUGGGGCUUCUAUUCUCUGCUUUUGCCCUGUGUUUGUACACGUUGUAUAGCUGUAUGUCCAUAGUGGUGAGACUAAGCAGCGCCACCUCUGUCAACCUCUCCCUGCUCACUGCUGAUCUCUUCAGCCUUUUCAGCGGGCUGUUCCUCUUCCAGUACAAUGUAAGAAACAACACACAUGCAUACAAUA